AUUUUUAAUGUAUUUUACAGGAGCUUCACUUAUGUGCAUCAAGGCUGCAUCUAUGUUGAUCCAAAAUAGAGUAAAACAGUAAUAUUGUGAA